rnacentral:rRNA from 1 species
GGUUAAGCGACUAAGCGUACACGGUGGAUGCCCUGGCAGUCAGAGGCGAUGAAGGACGUGCUAAUCUGCGAUAAGCGCCGGUAAGGUGAUAUGAACCGUUAUAACCGGCGAUUUCCGAAUGGGGAAACCCAGUGUGACUCGUCACACUAUCAUUAACUGAAUCCAUAGGUUAAUGAGGCGAACCGGGGGAACUGAAACAUCUAAGUACCCCGAGGAAAAGAAAUCAACCGAGAUUCCCCCAGUAGCGGCGAGCGAACGGGGAGGAGCCCAGAGCCUGAAUCAGCAUGUGUGUUAGUGGAAGCGUCUGGAAAGGCGCGCGAUACAGGGUGACAGCCCCGUACACAAAAGCGCAUGUGCUGUGAGCUCGAUGAGUAGGGCGGGACACGUGGUAUCCUGUCUGAAUAUGGGGGGACCAUCCUCCAAGGCUAAAUACUCCUGACUGACCGAUAGUGAACCAGUACCGUGAGGGAAAGGCGAAAAGAACCCCGGCGAGGGGAGUGAAAAAGAACCUGAAACCGUGUACGUACAAGCAGUGGGAGCACCCUUUGGGGGUGUGACUGCGUACCUUUUGUAUAAUGGGUCAGCGACUUAUAUUCUGUAGCAAGGUUAACCGAAUAGGGGAGCCGGAGGGAAACCGAGUCUUAACCGGGCGUUAAGUUGCAGGGUAUAGACCCGAAACCCGGUGAUCUAGCCAUGGGCAGGUUGAAGGUUGGGUAACACUAACUGGAGGACCGAACCGACUAAUGUUGAAAAAUUAGCGGAUGACCUGUGGCUGGGGGUGAAAGGCCAAUCAAACCGGGAGAUAGCUGGUUCUCCCCGAAAGCUAUUUAGGUAGCGCCUCGUGAAUUCAUCUCCGGGGGUAGAGCACUGUUUCGGCUAGGGGGCCAUCCCGGCUUACCAACCCGAUGCAAACUGCGAAUACCGGAGAAUGUUAUCACGGGAGACACACGGCGGGUGCUAACGUCCGUCGUGAAGAGGGAAACAACCCAGACCGCCAGCUAAGGUCCCAAAGUCAUGGUUAAGUGGGAAACGAUGUGGGAAGGCCCAGACAGCCAGGAUGUUGGCUUAGAAGCAGCCAUCAUUUAAAGAAAGCGUAAUAGCUCACUGGUCGAGUCGGCCUGCGCGGAAGAUGUAACGGGGCUAAACCAUGCACCGAAGCUGCGGCAGCGACACUAUGUGUUGUUGGGUAGGGGAGCGUUCUGUAAGCCUGUGAAGGUGGCCUGUGAGGGUUGCUGGAGGUAUCAGAAGUGCGAAUGCUGACAUAAGUAACGAUAAAGCGGGUGAAAAGCCCGCUCGCCGGAAGACCAAGGGUUCCUGUCCAACGUUAAUCGGGGCAGGGUGAGUCGACCCCUAAGGCGAGGCCGAAAGGCGUAGUCGAUGGGAAACGGGUUAAUAUUCCCGUACUUGGUGUUACUGCGAAGGGGGGACGGAGAAGGCUAUGUUGGCCGGGCGACGGUUGUCCCGGUUUAAGCGUGUAGGUGUGUGUUCCAGGUAAAUCCGGUUCACUUUAACACUGAGGCGUGAUGACGAGGCACUACGGUGCUGAAGCAACAAAUGCCCUGCUUCCAGGAAAAGCCUCUAAGCAUCAGGUAACAUCAAAUCGUACCCCAAACCGACACAGGUGGUCAGGUAGAGAAUACCAAGGCGCUUGAGAGAACUCGGGUGAAGGAACUAGGCAAAAUGGUGCCGUAACUUCGGGAGAAGGCACGCUGACAUGUAGGUGAAGUGAUUUACUCAUGGAGCUGAAGUCAGUCGAAGAUACCAGCUGGCUGCAACUGUUUAUUAAAAACACAGCACUGUGCAAACACGAAAGUGGACGUAUACGGUGUGACGCCUGCCCGGUGCCGGAAGGUUAAUUGAUGGGGUCAGCGCAAGCGAAGCUCCUGAUCGAAGCCCCGGUAAACGGCGGCCGUAACUAUAACGGUCCUAAGGUAGCGAAAUUCCUUGUCGGGUAAGUUCCGACCUGCACGAAUGGCGUAAUGAUGGCCAGGCUGUCUCCACCCGAGACUCAGUGAAAUUGAACUCGCUGUGAAGAUGCAGUGUACCCGCGGCAAGACGGAAAGACCCCGUGAACCUUUACUAUAGCUUGACACUGAACAUUGAGCCUUGAUGUGUAGGAUAGGUGGGAGGCUUUGAAGUGUGGACGCCAGUCUGCAUGGAGCCGACCUUGAAAUACCACCCUUUAAUGUUUGAUGUUCUAACGUGGACCCGUGAUCCGGGUUGCGGACAGUGUCUGGUGGGUAGUUUGACUGGGGCGGUCUCCUCCUAAAGAGUAACGGAGGAGCACGAAGGUUGGCUAAUCCUGGUCGGACAUCAGGAGGUUAGUGCAAUGGCAUAAGCCAGCUUGACUGCGAGCGUGACGGCGCGAGCAGGUGCGAAAGCAGGUCAUAGUGAUCCGGUGGUUCUGAAUGGAAGGGCCAUCGCUCAACGGAUAAAAGGUACUCCGGGGAUAACAGGCUGAUACCGCCCAAGAGUUCAUAUCGACGGCGGUGUUUGGCACCUCGAUGUCGGCUCAUCACAUCCUGGGGCUGAAGUAGGUCCCAAGGGUAUGGCUGUUCGCCAUUUAAAGUGGUACGCGAGCUGGGUUUAGAACGUCGUGAGACAGUUCGGUCCCUAUCUGCCGUGGGCGCUGGAGAACUGAGGGGGGCUGCUCCUAGUACGAGAGGACCGGAGUGGACGCAUCACUGGUGUUCGGGUUGUCAUGCCAAUGGCACUGCCCGGUAGCUAAAUGCGGAAGAGAUAAGUGCUGAAAGCAUCUAAGCACGAAACUUGCCCCGAGAUGAGUUCUCCCUGAGACUUAGAGUCUCCUGAAGGAACGUUGAAGACGACGACGUUGAUAGGCCGGGUGUGUAAGCGCAGCGAUGCGUUGAGCUAACCGGUACUAAUGAACCGUGAGGCUUAACCUU